AUAAAAAUGAGGAGAACACAAACAUUCAGUCCAUAACAAGGAUUCGCAGAAUUGGAAGCAUGACUCUGCCCACCCCCUGUUCAGACCCAUUCUCCAGCCCCAAGCAGGGAUUCCACACUGUAGGAGGAGAGAUUGAUGACCCAGAGGGCAAGAAAAGAAAGUGUUUCAGAAGACUCUCAAAAUGCUCUGCCCUGAAAACGAGGGGUUAUGAUGGAAUAGAUUCAGUGCCUGGCUCAUUGUGGGAUAUCAACAAAGAGCUGAAGAAGGAAGGAAAGAAGAAAGAAAGGGGAACAGACAAGAGAUAGGGACACAGGGAAAGAGGAACUCAGCAACAAUAUAAUUUUCCCAAAUUUAUCAGCAAAAGAGCACCUGGAGUUUGGAGUCUGGAGAUUAUCGUUCACCUACCACACGUAGGUUGCCCACUUAAUCCACCUGAGCCUCUUUUUACGAAUCCAAAGGCAGAAUAUUUCCAACACAGAUUUGGUAAUAAACUGGGUGCUCUGACAUAUGGUUAGCAGUAUUGUGAAUUGGUACAUCUCACUGGAAAAGCAAUUUAUCAGUACAAAUCAAGAGUAUACAAAAAUAUGCACACUUUUGACUGAGUUCUGAGUUUCUGUUCUACAAAAUAAUUCCCAUAUAUUAAAAAAAAAAACACUUGUACAAAUAUUAAAAUAGCCUGAGUCCCUGAUGACAUUGUGGUCUCUGAACUGUUUUAUAUGGGAG
rnacentral:lncRNA from 1 species